CUGGUCCCAAGCUAGAUCUUCGGGAAAAGGGAUCAAGGAAAUGACUAUUCCUCCAAAUAAAAUGCAACAAGAAGAAUGAAAAAACGUAGAAGAGAAAGCCUCGUGAAACUGAGAAGCAUCUGCAACCACAAACUACAAAAUGUAGCUGCUAAACAAAAUGAAAGUUGGAUCAAAGUGGUGGCAAAUAUCAAGAGUGAAUAUACUCCACGGCAGAGUACUGCAAAUGCUGCACAUCUUUCAUGGAUUCUGGUCCACCUCGUCCUCACGCGGGGAUGCAGACUGACAAGCUUCCACCAUGAAGGGUUGUCAUUUGCCAUAGCAGGGAGAGGAAAAUGGAGCAAAUCAGUCACCAGCUCGUCAUACAGAAGAGUGUCCCACGUCAUAUCUGCUGAUAUGUUAUGGCCAAAGUACAUGACUAUCUCCAAGGAGCUGAGAGGUGAAAUUCGGACAUUUGUCUGGACGGAGUAGAACCAAGAGAGUCGUAAACAUCCUGUGGACUACACACCGUUUAACAAGAUG
rnacentral:lncRNA from 1 species